rnacentral:piRNA from 1 species
UAGAAAAAUGGUAGACACAACCCUUUCC